UACAGAGACUGCAAGCGUUAUUCGGAUUCACUGGGCUUAAAGCGUGCGUAGGCGGUCUUGUUAGUCAGGUGUGAAAGCCCUCAGCUCAACUGAGGAAUUGCGCUUGAUACUGCAUGACUAGAGAAUGAUAGAGGUGGGUGGAACUGAUGGUGGAGCGGUGAAAUGCGUUGAUAUCAUCAGGAACACCAGUGGCGAAGGCGACCCACUGGGUCAUUUCUGACGCUGAGGUACGAAAGCUAGGGUAGCGAACGGG
rnacentral:rRNA from 1 species